AUUGAACGCUGGCGGCAUGCCUUACACAUGCAAGUCGAACGGUAACAGAUCUUCGGAUGUUGACGAGUGGCGAACGGGUGAGUAAUACAUCGGAACGUGCCUAGUAGUGGGGGAUAACUACUCGAAAGAGUGGCUAAUACCGCAUGAGAUCUACGGAUGAAAGCAGGGGAUCGCAAGACCUUGUGCUACUAGAGCGGCCGAUGGCAGAUUAGGUAGUUGGUGGGAUAAAAGCUUACCAAGCCGACGAUCUGUAGCUGGUCUGAGAGGACGAUCAGCCACACUGGGACUGAGUCACGGCCCAGACUCCUACGGGAGGCAGCAGUGGGGAAUUUUGGACAAUGGGCGCAAGCCUGAUCCAGCAAUGCCGCGUGCAGGAUGAAGGCCUUCGGGUUGUAAACUGCUUUUGUACGGGACGAAAAGCCCUGGGUUAAUACCCUGGGGUCAUGACGGUACCGUAAGAAUAAGCACCGGCUAACUACGUGCCAGCAGCCGCCUAAUAC
rnacentral:rRNA from 1 species